AUUGAACGCUGGCGGCAGGCCUAACACAUGCAAGUCGAACGAGUGGCGGACGGGUGAGUAAUGUCUGGGAAACUGCCCGAUGGAGGGGGAUAACUACUGGAAACAGUAGCUAAUACCGCAUACCAUCGGAUGUGCCCAGAUGGGAUUAGCUAGUAGGUGGGGGAACGGCUCACCUAGGCGACGACCCCUAGCUGGUCUGAGAGGAUGAACAGCAACACAAGAACUGAGAAACGGGCCAGACUCCUACGGGAGGCAGCAGUAGGGAAUAUUGCACAAUGGGGGCAAGCCUGAUACAGCCAUGACGCGUGGAUGAAGAAGGCCUUCGGGUUGUAAAGUACUUUCAGCGAGGAGGCGUUACUCGCAGAAGAAGCACCGGCUAACUCCGUGCCAGCAGCCGCGGUAAUAC
rnacentral:rRNA from 1 species